UACAGAGGGUGCGAGCGUUGUUCGGAAUUAUUGGGCGUAAAGGGCGCGUAGGCGGUUGGGUAAGUCACCUGUGAAAUCUCCUGGCUCAACUGGGAGCUUGCAGGCGAAACUGCUUGACUGGAGUAUGGGAGAGGUGCGUGGAAUUCCCGGUGUAGCGGUGAAAUGCGUAGAUAUCGGGAGGAAUACCGGUGGCGAAGGCGGCAUCCUGGACCGACAUUGACGCUGAACGGCGAAAGCUAGGGGAGCAAACGGG
rnacentral:rRNA from 1 species